rnacentral:snRNA from 1 species
AUCGCUUCUCGGCCUUUUGGCUAAGAUCAAAGUUUAGUUUCUGUUCUUAUCGAAUUAACCUUCGAUAGAGAUUCGAAUGAAUCUCGUUAAGGUUAUUUGAUUUUUGAGACCGGACGNAUUUUUGAGACCGGACGAGGUUGUGGGCUUGCUCGCACCUCGUCACGGGUCGGCCCAGCGUUGCACUGCUGCUGGGAUCGGCCCACCCCUC